UACGUAGGCAGCAAGCGUUGUUCGGAGUUACUGGGCGUAAAGGGUGCGUAGGCGGCGGAGCAAGUCUGAUGUGAAAUCCCGGGGCUCAACCCCGGAACUGCAUUGGAUACUGCUUUGCUAGAGUACUGGAGAGGGAACUGGAAUUUACGGUGUAGCAGUGAAAUGCGUAGAGAUCGUAAGGAAGGCCAGUGGCGAAGGCGAGUUCCUGGACAGUGACUGACGCUGAGGCGCGAAAGCCAGGGGAGCAAACGGG
rnacentral:rRNA from 1 species